GUGAGAAGGAAAAGCGCUGGCUGCAUGGAGAAAAGGGAAAAGCAAGACGGAUCAGGUUGGUGUUUUUCUUCCAACCUGUUCUUGCUCGCUUCUCGGCUCUACCCAGGCUGUCUCCCACUUUUUAAGCCCUCCCUUCUCCGCCCCUCUCUCCUUUUCCAUCCUCUUCGCACUUUUCAAUGCACCAGGUUUUAACAGCCUUGCAGGGAGUGGCUGAAUUGUAACGACUCUGUGAAGUAGGCACAUUUUGCAGAUGAGGAAACUGAGGCACACACGAUCCCGGGGGACACUGGGUGUGGAACCAGGCCUCCAGAGCGCGCUGUCUCCACCACUAAGCUACAAGUUGCUGAUGUCACUAGCAAGGACUUCCCUGUAACCUGCGCUGUCACCCUGUCAUAAACACAUCUAUGUUUCCAUCUCAACGGCCUCAUUUAGAGAGAGCAACGAGUUCACACGCCAGUCACAUGGAGAAGACGUGGAAGAGACAGUUUAGUUUAUCAAAGCGUUUUCCACCAGCAAAGGCUGUCCCAGGUGGACGUUCUCUUGCUUCAGUAAAGGCGCAGGUUCAAUGAGCGCUCCCACCUCCACCGGCUCCUCUUUCCCCUCAAGGAACUGAGGAAGAAUCUUUACCUCUGAGAAGGCGGUUGAAAAACCAAGCUGUGACAAACAUGGAUGAAACACGGCAAACAUGGAUGAAAGCUGUGACAAACAUGGAUGACAAAUGAUCUCCUUGGUAUUCUGGAAAAUACCGGAAAUAAUAUGCUACAUACCUGGGAAUAAUGUAAUAAUUCCAAAACAACAAGGCAGGAAACAAAAUCUGGAAAGUUCAGGAAGAUUUGUUAAGAUUUUGGAGCAUGAGUCAGAAAACUGUGUUGAAUGUGUUGGAGCAGGGGGAGGGGGACGUUUCAACUUCAUUACAGAUUAAAGAAAUGAAACAGCCAAGAGAUAUCAGAUUUCACCUAUGAAGCAGGGAGUGGAGUAAUUGAUGAGAGCAGCCUCUGACUCAAAGGCAGGACAGUCCUCCAAGGAGGUGAGAAUACUCAUCCGGCGACAUGACUUUCAUCAUGGAAUGUGAAUCUUGCCACAUGGGUGUCAGGUACCCAUGCAAAAGCAUGUCCUUCAGUCAACAACAGAGAGUCCACGGGUCUUAGGUUCACACCGGGGAAUUUAACUGAAAAGUGUUGUUAUGCAGUGCUUGGCCAAUGCCUAUCCGAGAGAAGGGAUAUUCACAGAAGACAGUCCACGCGGUUUGCUGGCCACUUGCUCCUGCAGGUGUGCUUAGCAUACUUUAACCGCACAGCGGUGAGAUCAUUAGCUCUGCGCAAACCUCAUUCAACGAGCACUCCACAGAAAUGCCUUUCCUGAGUUAUGCUUUCAUGUUUUACCCUUGACUUCCUUCUGGGUUUGAAAUGAAGAGAUCAUAUGAAAAAUACCGUUUCUAUAAAUCGCUUGCUGCAGAGGUUUUGAAUGUUGUACACUGUCUCUGUGUGUUGACCCUCCUGAUGAAAUCCCCCCAGAGCUGUGAUGUUUAAACUGAGCUCCUGGAAACUGCUGAGGGGGCUGAGGGACCAAGCUCCUUUUCCAUCGGAGGACUCUACUUUUACUUGUUCUAUCACAGAUGCCAAAUACAUGACAACCACAGAGCUGCUUAGGAAAGACAAUCUGAUACCACCUUGAUCAGAGCUAGUUUGGGAUGCUUUAAAAGAGGGAAAAGAAAUUCAACACAGAUUUAAGUCUCUGCUUCCGGAGGUAUGACCUCACAAUUGGAAGAUUCUAAAUGUCACUGGAACAAGCCAGAGAUCAGUUUUUUAAAAGAAACAAUAAAAUGGCCAAGCACA